rnacentral:rRNA from 1 species
GUUGGUAAUUAUUAUCUUAAGGGCACCAAAUCCUGUCUAGUCUUGGAAGCUAUGCAGGGUAACACCUGGUUAGUACUUGGAUAGGAGACUUCCAAUUAAUACCUGGUGCUGUAGGCU